CUAGCCUUUGGGUGUCGCUGCCAAUUCAGCGACCGGGUUUGACCGUCCGAAAA
rnacentral:ncRNA from 1 species